GGUGAAUUAUCCCUUUAAUAUCUUUAUUAACAAUAUUAACAUCUCAAUGGCAUUUUCUGUAAAUUUGCAACUAACAAAUGUAGCUACAGUUUAUAUUUGAUUACAAGGUUGGAGAACAUUUUCAACUCAGCCUCGUUAAAAAGUGCUUAUUUUAAAAUAUGACAAUCUACUGGGUGUUUACAGGAGACGAGAGGCGCUGAUUGGGCCAUGGUAAAUCGACGCGUAAAUCCACCAAUCACAGCGUGCUUUUCUCGUGACGUAGGAACAUUUGAAAUUGACGAACAGCGCGAAUGGUAGUUGAAGAAAUUGGCGCAAAAUGUCCCUGGUCUGAUUGUCUUUUUGACGGAAAAAGCGAGUACGGACUCGUUCACAAACAGAGUCGCGGCAGAUACAGAGUUGUGAUGGAGGAUGUUUUACCCGCUCGGACAGUUUGUGGCCCAAACAACAGAACUGUCUCCUGGUCAACGGAACUCUGCCCUCAACAAUAAAUACUGGAAUAAUCAGACGGCCUACUUAAAUAUGGACACUGAUGAUGCAACAAAAAGUCUUCAUUUACAACAAAGGUACUUUGGGGCUGACAGACAGCCAUUGUGAAGGACACAAUCUGGCAAAAAUUUACCUGCAGAAGUGAAUGGGAAGAUAUGGGCUCUGAGGAAAAACUCUACACACAGACGCUCUACACACAUAGACGGCUCAAUGCUGCUAACUGGCAGAGCAGCUGGAAAACUAAAAGACAAGAAAAGAAGAACAUUAAUACGGAUGACUGUAUUAUUUUUCUUCAAGGACCAGGUCAAGCAAAGACAGUGAUGAGCACUCAGAGCAAACACAGCAGUCAGACGCAGGAUUACACACUGGACUUUAGAGUUCUUCAACAUGUGAUGUUGGACAUUUACUGUUUCUAAAGCCAAUAAUUUAUGUGGAUGCCAUUUAUAGACCUGUUAGAUUUUGUUUUAUUUUUGAGAUUAAUAAAAUUGUAUGUUUUAACAA